GUGCCCGUAGCUUAAUUGGAUAGAGCGCGACCUUGCGGAGGUUGAAGUUGGGCGUUCGACUCGCCCCGGGCACA
rnacentral:tRNA from 1 species